rnacentral:rRNA from 1 species
CAGCCGCCGCGGUAAUACGGAGGAUCCAAGCGUUAUCCGGAAUCAUUGGGUUUAAAGGGUCCGUAGGCGGUCUUGUAAGUCAGUGGUGAAAGCCCAUCGCUCAACGGUGGAACGGCCAUAGAUACUGCAGGACUUGAAUUAUUGGGAAGUAACUAGAAUAUGUAGUGUAGCGGUGAAAUGCUUAGAGAUUACAUGGAAUACCAAUUGCGAAGGCAGGUUACUACCAAUUGAUUGACGCUGAUGGACGAAAGCGUGGGUAGCGAACAGGAUUAGAUACCCCUGUAGUCCCUGUCUCUUAUAA